AGUAGCUGCUGUGGGAGCCGAGAGAGGGAAUGAAGAAGGAAACCAGGAACCUUUUAUGAAUAAGGCCCUUUGUAAAUAUUCUGCCCGGAGUUCCUCCCACUACCUCAACAUUAAAAUAGAUGAAGAAUUCGAAAACCAAGAAGUUCAGACGUUAGGAUUCAGGGUUGGAAUAUCACCAGUCUUAACUGGAAAGGGCAAGACUAGCAGUUUUUGCAAGACCAAGACCGUGUACCCUUCUACUCGGAAGUCAGAGUUGGUGCCACCUAAGUGGGUUCCUGAUGCAGGGGAUUUGAGGACAUCCUCUUCCUUCAACUUCUGA
rnacentral:lncRNA from 1 species